rnacentral:rRNA from 1 species
GUAGGGAAUAUUGGGCAAUGGAAGGAAUUCUGACCCAGCCAUGCCGCGUGCAGGAAUACAGUCCUAUGGACUUUAAACUGCUUUUAUUAUAGAGUAACCUGGGGGACGUGUCCCCCACUGCAAGUAUAUAAUGAAUAAGCAUCGGCUAACUCCGUGCCAGCAGCCGCGGUAAUACGGGGGAUGCAAGCGUUAUCCGGAUUUAUUGGGUUUAAAGGGUGCGCAGGCUGAUCGGUAAGUCAUGGGUGAAAAGUCACUGCUUAACAGUGAUCGUGCCUAUGAUACUGCCGGACUAGAGUUUAAGAGGUGUAACUGGAAUGUGAUGUGUAGCGGUGAAAUGCUUAGAUAUGUCACAGAACGCCAAUCGUGAAGACAGGUUACAAACUUAAUACUGACGCUCAUGCACGAAAGCGUGGGGAUCAAACAGGAUUAGAUACCCUAGUAGUCC